rnacentral:rRNA from 1 species
UGCAACUCGACUACAUGAAGCUGGAAUCGCUAGUAAUCGCGGAUCAGAAUGCCGCGGUGAAUACGUUCCCGGGUCUUGUACACACCGCCCGUCACACCAUGGGAGUCGGAAAUGCCCGAAGUCUGUGACCGAACCGAAAGGAAGGAGCAGCCGAAGGCAGGUCGGAUGACUGGGGUGAAGUCGUAACAAGGUAGC